AAAUCCUUCGUGUUUAUCUUAAAUGUCUGUGAUAAUGAUGAUGAUGUUUUUCUUGAAGAUCGUUGGCUCUUAGACUCAGAGAGAGUUUGCAGCAUCAGACUGUCAGAGUUGAUGAUUCAGCAGGAGAAGCCGUUAGCGGGCAGUAUGCCGGUGGUUUGGCCCACGCUGCUUGACCUCAGCAGAGAUGAGUGCAAGCGAAUCCUGCGCAAACUGGAGCUGGAAGCGUACGCCGGUGUGAUCAGUGCUCUGCGUGCUCAAGGAGAUCUCACCAAAGACAAGAAGGAUCUGCUUGGAGAACUCACUCGAGUGCUGAGCAUCUCGACGGAGCGUCAUCGAGCCGAGGUACGCAGAGCGGUGAACGACGAGCGUCUGACCACCAUCGCUUAUCA